AUAUGGUCAAGUGAAGAAGCGCAUACGGUGGAUGCCUUGGCAGUCAGAGGCGAUGAAAGACGUGGUAGCCUGCGAAAAGCUUCGGGGAGUCGGCAAACAGACUUUGAUCCGGAGAUGUCUGAAUGGGGGAACCCAGCCAUCAUAAGAUGGUUAUCUUGUACUGAAUACAUAGGUGCAAGAGGCGAACCAGGGGAACUGAAACAUCUAAGUACCCUGAGGAAAAGAAAUCAACCGAGAUUCCCUUAGUAGUGGCGAGCGAACGGGGACUAGCCCUUAAGUGGCUUUGAGAUUAGCGGAACGCUCUGGAAAGUGCGGCCAUAGUGGGUGAUAGCCCUGUACGCGAAAAUCUCUUAGUCAUGAAAUCGAGUAGGACGGAGCACGAGAAACUUUGUCUGAAUAUGGGGGGACCAUCCUCCAAGGCUAAAUACUACUGACUGACCGAUAGUGAACUAGUACCGUGAGGGAAAGGCGAAAAGAACCCCGGAGAGGGGAGUGAAAUAGAUCCUGAAACCGUAUGCGUACAAGCAGUGGGAGCCCACUUUGUUGGGUGACUGCGUACCUUUUGUAUAAUGGGUCAGCGACUUAUUUUCAGUGGCGAGCUUAACCGAAUAGGGGAGGCGUAGCGAAAGCGAGUCUUAAUAGGGCGUCUAGUCGCUGGGAAUAGACCCGAAACCGGGCGAUCUAUCCAUGGGCAGGUUGAAGGUUGGGUAACACUAACUGGAGGACCGAACCGACUACCGUUGAAAAGUUAGCGGAUGACCUGUGGAUCGGAGUGAAAGGCUAAUCAAGCUCGGAGAUAGCUGGUUCUCCUCGAAAGCUAUUUAGGUAGCGCCUCAUGUAUCACUGUAGGGGGUAGAGCACUGUUUCGGCUAGGGGGUCAUCCCGACUUACCAAACCGAUGCAAACUCCGAAUACCUACAAGUGCCGAGCAUGGGAGACACACGGCGGGUGCUAACGUCCGUCGUGAAAAGGGAAACAACCCAGACCGUCAGCUAAGGUCCCAAAGUUAUGGUUAAGUGGGAAACGAUGUGGGAAGGCUUAGACAGCUAGGAGGUUGGCUUAGAAGCAGCCACCCUUUAAAGAAAGCGUAAUAGCUCACUAGUCGAGUCGGCCUGCGCGGAAGAUGUAACGGGGCUCAAACCAUACACCGAAGCUACGGGUAUCACUUAGGUGAUGCGGUAGAGGAGCGUUCUGUAAGCCUGUGAAGGUGAGUUGAGAAGCUUGCUGGAGGUAUCAGAAGUGCGAAUGCUGACAUGAGUAACGACAAUGGGUGUGAAAAACACCCACGCCGAAAGACCAAGGUUUCCUGCGCAACGUUAAUCGACGCAGGGUUAGUCGGUCCCUAAGGCGAGGCUGAAAAGCGUAGUCGAUGGAAAACAGGUUAAUAUUCCUGUACUUCUGGUUAUUGCGAUGGAGGGACGGAGAAGGCUAGGCCAGCUUGGCGUUGGUUGUCCAAGUUUAAGGUGGUAGGCUGGAAUCUUAGGUAAAUCCGGGAUUCUAAGGCCGAGAGCUGAUGACGAGUUACCCUUUGGGUGACGAAGUGGUUGAUGCCAUGCUUCCAAGAAAAGCUUCUAAGCUUCAGGUAACCAGGAACCGUACCCCAAACCGACACAGGUGGUUGGGUAGAGAAUACCAAGGCGCUUGAGAGAACUCGGGUGAAGGAACUAGGCAAAAUGGCACCGUAACUUCGGGAGAAGGUGCGCCGGUGAGGGUGAAGCACUUGCUGCGUAAGCCCACGCCGGUCGAAGAUACCAGGCCGCUGCGACUGUUUAUUAAAAACACAGCACUCUGCAAACACGAAAGUGGACGUAUAGGGUGUGACGCCUGCCCGGUGCCGGAAGGUUAAUUGAUGGGGUUAGCUAACGCGAAGCUCUUGAUCGAAGCCCCGGUAAACGGCGGCCGUAACUAUAACGGUCCUAAGGUAGCGAAAUUCCUUGUCGGGUAAGUUCCGACCUGCACGAAUGGCGUAACGAUGGCGGCGCUGUCUCCACCCGAGACUCAGUGAAAUUGAAAUCGCUGUGAAGAUGCAGUGUAUCCGCGGCUAGACGGAAAGACCCCGUGAACCUUUACUAUAGCUUUGCACUGGACUUUGAAUUUGCUUGUGUAGGAUAGGUGGGAGGCUUUGAAGCGUGGACGCCAGUUCGCGUGGAGCCAUCCUUGAAAUACCACCCUGGCAACUUUGAGGUUCUAACUCAGGUCCGUUAUCCGGAUCGAGGACAGUGUAUGGUGGGUAGUUUGACUGGGGCGGUCUCCUCCUAAAGAGUAACGGAGGAGUACGAAGGUGCGCUCAGACCGGUCGGAAAUCGGUCGUAGAGUAUAAAGGCAAAAGCGCGCUUGACUGCGAGACAGACACGUCGAGCAGGUACGAAAGUAGGUCUUAGUGAUCCGGUGGUUCUGUAUGGAAGGGCCAUCGCUCAACGGAUAAAAGGUACUCCGGGGAUAACAGGCUGAUACCGCCCAAGAGUUCAUAUCGACGGCGGUGUUUGGCACCUCGAUGUCGGCUCAUCACAUCCUGGGGCUGAAGCCGGUCCCAAGGGUAUGGCUGUUCGCCAUUUAAAGUGGUACGCGAGCUGGGUUUAGAACGUCGUGAGACAGUUCGGUCCCUAUCUGCCGUGGACGUUUGAGAUUUGAGAGGGGCUGCUCCUAGUACGAGAGGACCGGAGUGGACGAACCUCUGGUGUUCCGGUUGUCACGCCAGUGGCAUUGCCGGGUAGCUAUGUUCGGAAAAGAUAACCGCUGAAAGCAUCUAAGCGGGAAACUUGCCUCAAGAUGAGAUCUCACUGGGACCUUGAGUCCCCUGAAGGGCCGUCGAAGACUACGACGUUGAUAGGUGGGGUGUGUAAGCGCUGUGAGGCGUUGAGCUAACCCAUACUAAUUGCCCGUGAGGCUUGACCAU
rnacentral:rRNA from 1 species